AAGCAUUUAGCUUGCUUCAGUACUUGGGUAUUAUUACCAUCCUUUCCUCACUCUGAAACUUGCAAAUCACUGUUUAUUUCUUUGCCCUUGACAGAUGUUAUCUUAUUUCAUCCUUACAUGUGGGUUUUACCGUCCCCUUGAACAAGGAGAAAACUAAGGCUGAGAACAUUAAAGUAGCACGAUCAUGGCAGACAUCUUCAAGGUCAGCUGGAAGAAGAAGAAUCUGGUUAGUCUGGCGGUUUCUGUUCUUUAAUUCUCACAUUAGGCCUGAAUUCAGACUAAAGCCUUGAUUGUCCAGCCCUCGACUCUCCUUCAAAAUUGAAGGAAGAAAUUAUGUGGAGUCCGGCGUGCCUCCCCUGACCCUGUUCCUCUUCUCAGAAUGGAAGUUUUUCUUGAACCCUUUGGAUGGGUUUUCGCUGCUGCUUCUGGUGGCAGUGAGGACUCUUCAUCUUACACCUUCCUCUGUGUCACAGGCGGGGAGUGAAGCGUGGUGGUCAUGUCUUCAAGGGAUAUGAACUGGGGGAAAGAAAACAGAAUUGACUUACCAACAGUGACUGUGAAGUUGGGUGUGUUCUGGCUUGGGGUUGCUUUUUUGUUUUCCUUCUCCUU
rnacentral:lncRNA from 1 species